CUACGGAGGGUGCAUGCGUUACUCGGAAUCACUGGGCGUAAAGCGCGCGCAGGCGGCUAUUUAAGUUGGAUGUGAAAGCCUACGGCUCAACCGUAGAACUGCAUCCAAAACUAUUUAGCUAGAGUGUGGGAGAGGAAGAUGGAAUUAGUUGUGUAGGGGUAAAAUCCGUAGAGAUAACUAGGAAUACCAAAAGCGAAGGCAAUCUUCUGGAACACUACUGACGCUGAGGCGCGAAAGCGUGGGGAGCAAACAGGAUUAGAAACCCUAGUAGUCC
rnacentral:rRNA from 1 species